GAGGGUAUAUCUCAGUGGUAGAGAGCAUGCCUAGUAUGCACAAGGUCCUGGGUUCAAUCCCCAUUACCUCCA
rnacentral:tRNA from 1 species